CAGGAUUUUGUCUUUCAUUGCACUCAUACAGACAUGAUGAUAAUGACGCUUCAUGCUUCGAUUCGUUCGGUAGUUUCUCUUCCCUUCUCCUCCUCUCCUAAGUCUCUAUUGUCGUCAGUGUCGGUGGCGGUGGCAGAGCGGAAGUAACAGUGAUCGAGGAAGGAAGAGAUUUCGGUCUAAAUGUCAGGCUUCAUGGUCCGUUUCGUAUGGUUCAUUCUUCCUCCGUCUCCUUCCCACUCAGUCCUGACCGGUGGGGGAGCGGAGGCAGCAGUGCUUGUGUGAGGUCUUGCGUUUUGGUCUAAAAUAUAAGAUAUGGACAACAAGCAGCACAUCUCGCGAGAAUCGGAUAAAGCAGCACACAGCAUAACAUCUGCGAGGACUCCAGGAGUGUUGGAGGAUGUUGGAAGAACGAAUACAAUAGAGGGAGCUCGCCAGCAUCAGACGGAGAUACGGUGCUUGGGUGAGGACCAGCAGCAAGACCAGUCAACGUGGACUGCGUUGGCUUCGUAACUUAAGGGAGUGUGGUAAGGACUAGAUCGCGCCACAUUCUAUACUACUGCACUGGCCACGGGUUCAUCUUGCUGGAGGGAUUGUUUUCUUGGAGUCAGACCAACGUGUAAUGAGGCGCCAUGGUGUUUAUCUGGAAGGAUGCAGGAUAUAUACAUACACCAAAUGCAAAUUGUUGUAUAAAAAUAAAAUUCUUUUCAAUGUCAAAAA